rnacentral:rRNA from 2 species
UGAGGAAUAUUGGUCAAUGGACGCAAGUCUGAACCAGCCAUGCCGCGUGCAGGAUGAAUGCCCUCUGGGUUGUAAACUGCUUUUAUCAGGGAAUAAACCUUUCUACGUGUAGAAAGCUGAAGGUACUUGAUGAAUAAGCACCGGCUAACUCCGUGCCAGCAGCCGCGGUAAUACGGAGGGUGCAAGCGUUAUCCGGAAUCAUUGGGUUUAAAGGGUCCGCAGGCGGAUUUAUAAGUCAGUGGUGAAAUCUCUCGGCUCAACCGAGAAACUGCCAUUGAUACUGUAAGUCUUGAAUUCGGUCGAAGUGGGCGGAAUAUGACAUGUAGCGGUGAAAUGCAUAGAUAUGUCAUAGAACACCGAUAGCGAAGGCAGCUCACUAGGCCUGGAUUGACGCUCAGGGACGAAAGCGUGGGGAGCAAACAGG